rnacentral:rRNA from 1 species
CUUAGAGGUUAAGCCCGAUGAACCUGAAUAUCCCAUUAUGAAAAAUUCAUCAUUAUAACUUAUAAUUAUAAUAAUAUUAUUAUUAUAUGGUGAUAGUGUGCAUUUUUUUCAUAUAAGGACAUUGUGAUCUAUUAACAUAUAUACACAAAUAUUUAUCAAAAGAUCAUUAGCAAUAAGUUUACUUGAAUUGAUUUGCUUUUAUUAGCAUAUUAACAUAAAAUAAAUGCAAAUGAUUUGAUAAAGUGUUGAUAGAUUUAUUUAUAUAUAAUGCUUAAAUUUAAUAAACAAAAAAAUUUUACAAUAAUAUUAAAAUCUAUUGAUUUUUAUAUAUUCAUU